AACGAACGCUGGCGGCAUGCCUAACACAUGCAAGUCGAACGAGACCUUCGGGUCUAGUGGCGCACGGGUGCGUAACGCGUGGGAACCUGCCCUUAGGGUCGGAAUAACUCCCCGAAAGGGGUGCUAAUACCGGAUAAUGUCUUCGGACCAAAGAUUUAUCGCCUUUGGAUGGGCCCGCGUUGGAUUAGCUAGUUGGUAGGGUAAAAGCCUACCAAGGCGACGAUCCAUAGCUGGUCAGAGAGGAUGAUCAGCCACACUGAGACUGAGACACGGCCCAGACUCCUACGGGAGGCAGCAGUGGGGGAUAGUGGACAAUGGGCGAAAGCCUGAUCCAGCAAUGCCGCGUGAGUGAUGAAGGCCUUAGGGUUGUAAAGCGCUUUUACCCGGGAUGAUAAUGACAGUACCGGGAGAAUAAGCUCCGGCUAACUCCGUG
rnacentral:rRNA from 1 species